rnacentral:rRNA from 1 species
UUCCAGACUCCUACGGGAGGCAGCAGUGGGGAAUAUUGCACAAUGGGGGAAACCCUGAUGCAGCGACGCCGCGUGAGCGAUGAGGUAUUUCGGUAUGUAAAGCUCUAUCAGCAGGGAAGAAAAUGACGGUGCCUGACUAAGAAGCCCCGGCUAACUACGUGCCAGCAGCCGCGGUAAUACGUAGGGGGCAAGCGUUAUCCGGAUUUACUGGGUGUAAAGGGAGCGUAGACGGCAAUGCAAGCCAGAUGUGAAAGCCCGGGGCUCAACCCCGGGACUGCAUUUGGAACUGUGUAGCUGGAGUGUCGGAGAGGCAGGCGGAAUUCCUAGUGUAGCGGUGAAAUGCGUAGAUAUUAGGAGGAGCACCAGUGGCGAAGGCGGCCUGCUGGACGAUGACUGACGUUGAGGCUCGAAAGCGUGGGGAGCAAACAGGAUUAGAUACCCUAGUAGCA